rnacentral:tRNA from 1 species
UCCUCAUGGCUUAGAUGGUAAAGAAUCUGCCUGCGAUGCAGGAGACCCAGGUUUUGAUUCCUGGGUCAGGAA